rnacentral:rRNA from 1 species
UACGGGAGGGUGCAAACGUUGCUCGGAAUCAUUGGGCGUAAAGCGCACGUAGGCGGUCCCUUAAGUCGGGUGUGAAAUCCCCAGGCUUAACCCUGGGAACUGCAUUCGAGACUGCAUUGCUAGAGUAUGGGAGAGGGAAGUGGAAUUUCCGGUGUAGCGGUGAAAUGCGCAGAUAUCAGGAAGAACACCUAUGGCGAAGGCAGCACUACUGGGACGGUACUGACGCUGAGACGCGAAAGCGUGGGGAGCGAGCAGG